UUAAUUAAGUCCUAAUUAUUUUACGUCGUCGUCUUUAUCAAUUCAAGGUUAAAACUCUCAUAUGAUUAGUCACUGGUUUGUGUCUUUGGUGUUUUGACAUUUAACACAUCCAUAUUGAAUUAAAAAGCUUCAUUAACCCCAUUAUGGCUCAAGCGCUUCUCACAGGGUCAAAUGAGAGCACUUUAAGCAAACGUUUCAUGGCUUAAUGGUCUCUGACUUGUGCGGCGCUGAGCUGAAGAUCUCUUUUAAACAGUUCAUGUAACACUGACUCCACAAAGCUGAACAAUACAGCAAUGUUUACCACCCGAUUCCCUCAUUUCACAAUGCAAUUUACAGGCUUUGAUACAGCAUCUCCUGUUUUCCGCCCCACUGUGUGAGUGUGUGUUGAAAUUCUGAAUGUUAUUCAUCCAAAGUAUGUAUCUUUAGUGGCAUAGCAACAAAAAAAGCUGAUGAUGAUAAUAUGGGGUGUUGAAGUCAGUCAGUACACAGGUAAGUCACAGAGCAACGUAGUGUUUAAAUGAGGCACUGGAAAGCAGGAUACAAUUCAACUCUGGGCAUCCAGAGUUUUGCAAGGUGAUGUGACAAAAAAAGGGAAACGAAAGGAACGAAAACGAAAGGAAAAGCUGUUAAAAAAAAGACGACAAGCAGUUACUUCACAGCUCAAGACCUCUUCAGUCAGGG